AAAUAAAUACUACAUUAUUCGGGCUCAUAACCCGAAGGUCGUAGGUUCAAAUCCUAC
rnacentral:tRNA from 1 species